GAAAACAUACUGCUAGACUGAAUGUGCGCAGGGAUCCUUGGGUCAAUGCUGCGUGGGAUUUGACUGCAGAGAUUACUGACAACACAGGCUGAAUGGGAUGAAUAUGAUGUGGAUGACCCCCCGGUCUAGAAGGUACGGGUGCCUAUGGAGCCAGACGCCACAGUCGACUCUCAGUUCAGACCUCCUGACCCGUGACUCCCGCCUAAAUCCACUUCUGUCCAGUGAAUCAGAUUUCUGAAGAAAAAACAAGAAACCGAAACCAGGCUCAAAGCUACAUCUGGCUCUCUCCGGACUUCCCUCCCAGGCCAGAACAAUGGCGGGCCCAUGAGCCCAGCUUCCCCACAGGCCCCAGCGAGAGGAGGCCGGGGGCUGGGUACUGAGGGAGCCGCUCAGCAUGCUGAAAUAUGGAGGCGACAGAUAAGGUGGCAGCAGCACAGAGAGGCCCUCUCCCAUGGGCCCAAGGGGAAAUUUGCAGUUAUUAAGAGGAAGAUGAGAGAGAUUAAAUGGCUUUUGUACUCAUUUUCACAGACUUUUCUUUUUUAUUAUUUGGGCUGCCUUCAUCUGAGAGAUGAAAGAAGUGGUAAAUGACUUUUUUGCUUCAUUCAGCAACACACUGGCUUUGAGAGACAAUUCAUUACUGAGAAUUGUCACACAUCAUAAAACACUUAUUAGUUCACCAUUGUUUUAAAAGGUGUGGAAGUAAUAGAAUUACUGUAAUCUUAUCAUCUACAACUACAGUAAUUACAAACUUAACAUGGUUUUGGAUUUUGUUUGAAGAAAUGAACAAAAUGUUAACAUAUGUGUUGAUUUAAAAUAAUGGCUUGAAGUCUUAAGCAAAUAUGUACAGACUUCUUGACACUCAUUUAUCUUCACAUGCAAUCUGAUAAAGUGUAAAGCCUAUUCUCUGAGUUUCACUGAAACUUGUAAUGGAGAGUUUAUUAUUUUUUGUAUUAUUUGUAUUUUGUAUUAAUAUAUUGCACUGCAUUAUUUUAGUAGAUGUAUUGUAAGUUGCUUAAUAUGACAUUAUAAUGCAAUUUGUUUUAAAGACUUAUGUAGGUAUGGUUGUGAGGUGGAGGUGGAGGGUACAUUGAUGCACUGGAGGCAUGGUUCACUGGUGAGGAUAUUUUGGGCUGAUGUAUUUGAAAACCUCUACUGUGUUCUCAACAUACUUAUCAAACCAUGUGCAAUAGUUUGUUUACUUGGCUCAUUUUAAAAUGGUAGCCUGCACCUAUUUAUCAGUCUGGCUUCUCUAUCAGCUAAGUGGAUGCUAAUGAACUGGAAACAAAUUGUUUUAAAAUUUAAAAUUGGUUGAAGGACUUUUUGGAUGUGACAGGUAAAAGGGCUUUAUCAUUCUUCCAAGACUGAGGACUAAGGACUUCAUAUGGUCUUACUUAGAAAAUAGUAAUAUAUUCUUCUGCCCCUUACUCCCCUUUGUUGGUGUGACUUCAUGUUUGAAAUGUAGGGCGAUGCUAUGACUCUUGUCUCCAUUUUUGUUUUUAUGGCUUCUUAAGCGAUUAAAAACAACCAUUAAGUUGACAUAACACCUCUAUAACACAAGCAAGCAAGGCUUUAUUUAUAUAGCACUUUUCAUUCCAGGUUGAAGCACAAAGUGUUUGCUACAUGGAAGUUGCAACCACAAAAACUAUGUAGAUAGUGUACAGAUAAAACAUCAGACAUAAAUA